rnacentral:lncRNA from 1 species
GCCAGAAAAGCAUAAGGUCUGGGAGAUGUGCUUCAUCCUGAGACACUGAAGAAGCCCAUUUUACUAUAGGCUAGAAGGAGACUUCACCAUAAUAUGUAAGGCCAUUCAUGGAAAUGAUGCUACAAAUGAAGUUCAAUAAGGUUCUCCACAGGCACUUCAGUCUCCUCCACUGCUAAGUGGGUCUAUUAACAGCUACAACAGAGCAAGGAAAGACUACAGGAGAGUCACGACGGCAAGUAUCUUGCUUGUUCCUGCUGUGGCGUGCGUUAAAGGC